UGAUUGGAUGGUGCCACCCACAGGAUUCUGGGUUCAGGCGGCAGCCGGUCGGGUUUCGCAGUCGGACCGGGGUCUCAGGCCGUGCUGUAUGAUCUGGCCGUGACUCAAACUGCAUCCCGAAGUUGUUCAGGACCACGGGUCAGGCUUCCAGAGCAGGGGCAAUAGAUGCUACAAAACCAAUCCUCAUUCCCAAUGGAGAGAUAUUCUUGGACCAUUCUCUUCCACAGACAAACAUACAACUUGGAGAGCACAGGUUUCUCUGUUUGCACCUUUCCACAUAUAUCCCCCUGAGGUGAUCAUUUGCAGUGUUGCUGAGGCAUCGAUUUGAAUUUAAGGUGCUGCAAAACAGGAGAGCUGCAACCAAAUAAAUUAUCU